rnacentral:misc_RNA from 1 species
UAAAUAACAUCCAGCAAAACGCCAAUGUGGUUAAAGUGAAAAAU